rnacentral:ncRNA from 1 species
UUUAUGGAGAGUUUGAUCCUGGCUCAGGAUGAACGCUGGCGGCGUGCCUAAUACAUGCAAGUCGAGCGAACUGACGAGGAGCUUGCUCCUUUGACGUUAGCGGCGGACGGGUGAGUAACACGUGGGUAACCUACCUAUAAGACUGGAAUAACUCCGGGAAACCGGGGCUAAUGCCGGAUAACAUAUCGAACCGCAUGGUUCGAUAGUGAAAGACGGUCUUGCUGUCACUUAUAGAUGGACCCGCGCCGUAUUAGCUAGUUGGUGAGGUAACGGCUCACCAAGGCAACGAUACGUAGCCGACCUGAGAGGGUGAUCGGCCACACUGGAACUGAGACACGGUCCAGACUCCUACGGGAGGCAGUCAGUAGGGAAUC